AUUGAACGCUGGCGGCAGGCUUAACACAUGCAAGUCGAACGAGUGGCGGACGGGUGAGUAAUGCUUGGGAAUCUAGCUUAUGGAGGGGGAUAACUACGGGAAACUGUAGCUAAUACCGCGUACCAUAGGAUGAGCCCAAGGGGGAUUAGGUAGUUGGUGAGGUAAAGGCUCACCAAGCCGACGAUCUCUAGCGGGUCUGAGAGGAUGACCAGCCACACGGGGACUGAGACACGGCCCAGACUCCGACGGGAGGCAGCAUUGGGGAAGAUUGCGCAAUGGGGGCAACCUGACGCAGCCAUGCCGCGUGAAUGAAGAAGGCCUUCGGGUUGUAAAGUUCUUUCGGUAGCGAGGCGUUAACUACAGAAGAAGCACCGGCUAACUCCGUGCCAGCCGCCGCGGUAAUUC
rnacentral:rRNA from 1 species